GAUUUAUCUGUGUGCACAUCAUUUCUUUUCUGGUCUGUCACUCUCUUGGAAGCAGCCGAUUUUGAGCUUCCCUUCUUGUAACAUUACACUCUCUUCUUGGCUGCUUGAGAAUUGUUUGAUGACUCUGCUGCAUUUAUCAGUAUGAGCUUUAAGUUUGCAACAUGCUGGGUGUGGAUUUACCAUAC